GGGAGCAUAAAACUCCAGAAGAACUGCAGAGUAAGACAUGCCAACUUCAGUAAAUGAAAUGCUGACAAUCUAUACAAGCAGGGCAUUUUGCGGAUGCCAACACAUUCCAAAUUAUCAAACAUAUUUCAAACAUUCAAUGCCUAAGUGUUCAAGCAAAUUGCCAUGCUGAAAGCCAUUAAAAACUGUUGGAGAAGUACACAGGACACCAAGUCAAAUUUACUGAGGAGAAAUGAAUUGUUAUACUACACAAAUAAUUGGUCAUACGAACCAUUUUUUCCAGAGUUGUUAACCA
rnacentral:misc_RNA from 1 species